rnacentral:rRNA from 1 species
GUCCACGCCGUAAACGUUGGGCACUAGGUGUGGGACUCUAUCAACGGGUUCCGUGCCGUAGCUAACGCAUUAAGUGCCCCGCCUGGGGGAGUACGGCCGCAAGGCUAAAACUCAAAGGAAUUGACGGGGGCCCGCACAAGCGGCGGAGCAUGUGGCUUAAUUCGAUGCAACGCGAAGAACCUUACCUGGGUUGAACUAUGCCGGAAAAGCCGUAGAGAUACGGUGUCCUUCGGGGCCGGUGAUAGGUGGUGCAUGGCUGUCGU